CCUACGGGAGGCAGCAGUGAGGAAUAUUGGUCAAUGGGCGCGAGCCUGAACCAGCCAAGCCGCGUGAGGGAUGAAGGUUCUAUGGAUCGUAAACCUCUUUUAUAAGGGAAUAAAUUCUGGGACGUGUCUUAUUUUGUAUGUACCUUAUGAAUAAGGAUCGGCUAACUCCGUGCCAGCAGCCGCGGUAAUACGGAGGAUCCAAGCGUUAUCCGGAUUUAUUGGGUUUAAAGGGUGCGUAGGCGGUCUUUUAAGUUAGCGGUGAAAUCCUGUGGCUCAACCCGGGAAGUGCCUUUGAUACUGGGGGGCUAGAGUAUAGUUGAGGUAGGCGGAAUGCGUGGUGUAGCGGUGAAAUGCUUAGAGAUCACGCAGAACACCGAUUGCGAAGGCAGCUUGCCAAGCUAUGACUGACGCUGAGGCACGAAAGCGUGGGGAGCAAACAGGAUUAGAUACCCUUGUAGUC
rnacentral:rRNA from 1 species